rnacentral:rRNA from 1 species
CCUACGGGUGGCAGCAGUGGGGAAUAUUGCGCAAUGGGCGAAAGCCUGACGCAGCGACGCCGCGUGAGGGAUGAAGGUCUUCGGAUCGUAAACCUCUGUCAGCAGGGAAGAACGGUCACUGUGCUAAUCAGCAGUGAAUUGACGGUACCUGCAAAGGAAGCACCGGCUAACUCCGUGCCAGCAGCCGCGGUAAUACGGAGGGUGCGAGCGUUAAUCGGAAUUACUGGGCGUAAGGAGCUCGUAGGCGGUAUGUCAAGUCAAGGGUGAAAUCCCAGCGCUGAACGUGGGAACUGCCUUUGAAACGGGCAAACUGGAGUGUGUGAGAGGAUAGUGGAAUGCCAGGUGUAGGAGUGAAAUGCGUAGAUAUCUGGAGGAACAUCAGUGGCGAAGGCGACUAUCUGGCACAUAACUGACGCUGAGGAGCGAAAGCGUGGGUAGCAAACAGGAUUAGAUACCCUUGUAGUC